UGCAGAGAGGCUGGCCUCCUGGUCUCCCGCCGGAGACUUAGGAAUGUCCGAUCUGUUCCAGGCGCUGAGCGAGCCCGAUAAGAAUGGAGGCGGAGGCAGCAGCCCUCGGCUCUGGAGAGGCGCCCCCCCUCACUCCGCCCCUUUCUCCAACAGGCCAGACCAGGCAGGACCAGAGGCGGCCACAAAUGCUCUUCUUCCAUGCCAGCCGCCAACGCUCUUGAACCCCGGCUCCCAUACAGGAUUCCCCCAAAAUACACCCUUUCUUUGGAUGGAAUCUCCAGCUCCACCGGCGUUGGUCAGGGUGGGCCCCCCUCAACCGAGAGGUCACCCUAAACCCGGGCCGGCUUCCCAGCGAACCAGCAUCUGGCGCCCUCUCGUGGUUAAAAGAGCACAUUGGCAAAAUAGGAGAGGUCGGAGCCGACGGGACCAGAUGCAGUGGAUCCAUGUGCUUAAGAAGAGGCAACCCUUGGCUUCUGGCUGGUGCUCCCAUCAUCCCUCCUGCACACCCCUCACCCCCAGCAUGGCUUCAACUACCCUGACUGAGAAGCCAGGGAAACUGGGCGAGUUGCUGAGCCUGAGAAGGGGUCUGAAGAUGUGCUGAAGCAGUGAACAAAGUCCCUGCCCUCACGGGCUUCUGGUCUUAUUCCAUCCAGAAGGAGGAUGUCCCAACUGCAAACGGAACUUGUUCAAAGCCGACGAUGGGAAGAGCAGCGAAUGGUGGCUGGUGCUACGUCCUUCUCUCCCUGGGACCUCUUCUAUGAGCCUCUUUUCCUUCUGUAAGCAUCUGGUAUUGAGUGCUCAGUCCCAACUGAUCUGCUCCCUUGAGAGGACUGAGGAGAACUGACAUGAAGCCCUGCCCUCUCGUUUACUCGAGGUGUGUGUGUGGAUGUGGGGGUGUCAACCAGAACAUCCUUUCAAGCGCCCUUAAGGGAGCACAGUGUUCUCCUAGUGAACCUUACAUCUCUACACCUUCAUGCUUUUCCUGCCUAUCCUUUAAGAGCCGGCUCAAGUGCCUCCUUUGUGGCAAGCCUCCCUUGCCCCUGAGAGGCUGUGGGUCCCUGGAAACCUGAGAGCAGGAUUACUGUAUCUCAUCUGUAUAUCUUGUAUCCCUUUUUAUUUCAUAAAUGGGGCAGGAUUCAACCAAGACCUGAAUCAAUUUAUUUUAUUUACUGUGGGUAAAACUGCAGUAUUUCCAGAAUCUCUCACCGGGCCUUAAUGUAUCUCCAUAUCAAUAGGUGUUUC